UUAUUUUAUGCUGACCAAGUCGUUUCAGUUUGUCUCAGAGGAGUUUGAAUGAAAAUGUUUCGAUUCUUCUUCGUGCUCGCUCUCGCCUUUUUCUUGAGUUCUUUCGCAAUAUCGCAGAAAAAGUCCCCUAACGAGACUAAUGGGACCGAAGCUAAACAAAACCUCUGCGCAGUUGCGCCUCAGGUUGUCUGUGGCAAGGAUGGCAAAGACGGAAAAGAUGGACAAAACGGAAAAGACGGGCGCGAUGGAUUGAACGGGAAAGAUGGUCGUGAUGGACGUGAUGGGACGCGUGGACCUAAGGAUGGUAACAUUAUGUUCAGGAUUGUGAUUAGGUCGUAGUAGUGUACUUUUCAACAGAUGAAAGGCAAAAUUAUACAUUGUGAACUACUACUUCAUAAUUUGAGAUUUUUAGAACUGCCCUAGUAUCGUGUAGUAUUUAUAUUAUAUCAAAACGUGCAUAAUAGUUUUCUCUUACAACACGGAUGGCCACCUGUAUUAGUUCAUAUAUUUAUCUUUUUCAUUCAUCAGGGGGAGAAAGGCGAAUUAGGGACAUGUACCAUGGAUGGCAACGCUUCUAUCAAGGGCGAGAAAGGCGAACCAGGAUUGAGAGGAAAGGAUGGUAAUUUUAGUACAAAAGUAAGUUCCAUUGUCCCUUAGUUUAGAACCAGGACUAAGAGGAAAGGAUGGUAAUUUUAGUAUAAAAGUAAGUUCCAUUUUACUUUAGUGGAGAACAAGGACUAAAAGGAAAGGAAAGUAAGUUAAGUACAAAAGUAAGUUUU